rnacentral:rRNA from 1 species
UACGAAGGGGGCUAGCGUUGCUCGGAAUCACUGGGCGUAAAGCGCACGUAGGCGGAUCGUUAAGUCAGGGGUGAAAUCCUGGAGCUCAACUCCAGAACUGCCUUUGAUACUGGCGAUCUUGAGUUCGGGAGGGGUGAGUGGAACUGCGAGUGUAGAGGUGAAAUUCGUAGAUAUUCGCAAGAACACCAGUGGCGAAGGCGGCUCACUGGCCCGAUACUGACGCUGAGGUGCGAAAGCGUGGGGAGCAAACAGG